UUUAGACUUUCAGUGAUUUCCUUUUUCCGAAUGUCAGUUUCUUUUUAGAUUUCCACCUAUGCAGAAGUAUCCUUCGUAAUCUCUUCAGAUUUCCGUCUGCUUCACGUUAGUUAUUUUUAAUUUAUUAAUUACACCUUGCUAUGAUGGCGCUGGCAGGAAAAGUAGCGAUUGUGACAGGAGCCUCGCGCGGAGUGGGAAAGGGAAUCGCGCUGCAACUGGGAGAAGCGGGAGCUACUGUUUACAUCACUGGACGUACCGCUAGUAAAACGCAGAAUGCCAGCGCUCCCGGAAGCCUGGAAGAGACAGCAAAAGAGGUGGCUGCACGAGGCGGAAAGUGUAUUCCGGUGGCCUGCGAUCAUAGCAAAGACUCCGACAUCGACGCACUGUUUGCUCAAGUGAAUACCGAACAGAAUGGCCAACUGGACAUUCUUGUCAACAAUGCCUUUUCCGCGGUGAACAGUAUUAUGGGCACACAGGGUCGGCCGUUCUGGAAGCUACCGCCCACCUUCUGGGAUGAGGUCAACAACGUCGGUCUGAGGAACCAUUACAUCUGCUCCGUAAAGGCCGCUGAAAUGAUGACUGCUCGGAAAUCGGGUUUAAUCAUUAACGUUUCUUCCAUUGGUGGGAUCAUGUACUUGUUCACACCAGCAUACGGAAUCGGAAAAGCCGCUAAAGACCGCAUGGCUGCUGAUUGUGCCAAGGAGCUGAAAAAGUACAACGUCACCUUUAUCAGUCUGUGGCCUGGCCCCGUGCAGACGGAGAUCAUUCAGGAAAAAAUUAUGAAACCGAUGAAGGAGAAAGAAGCCCAGGGACAGCGCUCUGCCAGUCCCGAUCGCUCUGAACAAGCUCCAGCGGCCAAAAUGACCAAAAUUGUCAACCAGAUGUUUAACAACGGAGAAACAAUCGAGUUCAGUGGAAGAUGCAUCGUGGCUUUGGCGCAAGAUAAGAAUAUCAUCAAGAGAACCGGCCAGAUUAUUACCACGGCCGAUAUUGGAGAGGAAUUCGAUUUGACGGAUGUCGAUGGCCGACGACAUUACAGCACGCGAAGCAUCAAGAAUGCUCUGCAAACACUGGGCUGGACGAAAACAGCCGAUUAUAUUCCUGGCUUUAUUAAGAUUCCGCGUUUCGUUAUGAACGUUGCCUAUGGUCGUUUAUAGAAGUGAAGCUAAACCAGCCUUGCGUUUUUAAUUUCGACUGGCCGGAGGCCGGAAAAUUUGCUCGAAAAUGGUACUACGCAACCACUAACCUUUUUCGUAUUGGGCGACUCGUCUCGAGACCGUUGGUAAAGCGGAUUCGGGCCGCUGCCACUGGGCUUGUUCUCCGCAUCGUGUUCGCUGUUAUCUUCCUCUUCGCUUUCGGAUGUGUCGGAAACGUCUUGGACAUCCUGUCAAGUGAAAACGUCAUGGGCUAUCCCAUUACAGACAAGUGAAACUAGCUAUGUACUGUUAAAAAAUUAAAAAGGAU